CAGUAGCCGCGGUAAUACGAAGGGGGCUAGCGUUGUUCGGAUUAACUGGGCGUAAAGGGUGCGUAGGCGGGUCUUUAAGUCAGAGGUGAAAUCCCAAGGCUCAACCUUGGAACUGCCUUUGAUACUGGGGAUCUUGAGUCCGGGAGAGGUGAGUGGAACUGCGAGUGUAGAGGUGAAAUUCGUAGAUAUUCGCAAGAACACCAGUGGCGAAGGCGGCUCACUGGCCCGGAACUGACGCUGAGGCACGAAAGCGUGGGGAGCAAACAGGAUUAGAUACCCCUGUAGUCCCUGUCUCUUAUAC
rnacentral:rRNA from 1 species